rnacentral:rRNA from 1 species
AAACUAACAAGGAUUCCCCUAGUCACUGCNAGUGAAGCGGGAAGAGCUCAAAUUUAAAAUCUGGCGGUCUUUGGCCGUCCGAGUUGUACUCUGGAGAAGUGCUUUCCGUGCCGGACCGUGUACAAGUCUCUUGGAACAGAGCGUCGUAGAGGGUGAGAAUCCCGUCUUUGACACGGACUACCGGUGCUUUGUGAUGCGCUCUCAAAGAGUCGAGUUGUUUGGGAAUGCAGCKCAAAAUGGGUGGUAAAUUCCAUCUAAAGCUAAAUAUUGGCGAGAGACCGAUAGCUCACAAGUACCGCGAGGGAAAGGUGAAAAGCACUUUGGAAAGAGAGUGAAACAGAUGUGAAAGCGCUAUCAGGGAAAGGUUGGCUAGCGCUGUCGUCCGUCCGUCACGCUUCACGGCGUGGCGGCGACGCGUCAGGACCCAUUGGGACCGGGAGAAACGGGGGUGAGGGAAUCGGCCCUUCGGGGUGUUGCAACCUCGCCUCACGAGCGCUCGGGAUCGAUGCGGAGAUAGGCACACGGCAACGUUGUGCCUUCCCUGGCAACGUGCUCAGUCAACCACCCGUCUUGAAACACGGACCAAGGAGUGCAUGUCGCCUGCGAGUCGAAGGGUCUGAACACCUGGAGGCGUAGCGAAAGCGUUGAUGGCGAACCCGCAAGGGGGCUGCCACGCCCAUGCUUGCAUGAGGCUGAGCAGGUGGGAUGCGACCCGAAAGAUGGUGAACUAUACCCGGGCAGGAUGAAGCCGGUGGAAACGCCGGUGGAGGUCCGUAGCGGUUCUGACGUGCAAAUCGAUCGUGUGACCCGGGUAUAGGGGCGAAAGACCUAUCGAACCUGCAAURGCUGGUCCUNNNN